rnacentral:rRNA from 1 species
GAUGAACGCUAGCGGCAGGCUUAAUACAUGCAAGUCGUGGGGCAGCACAGGUAGCAAUACUAGGUGGCGACCGGCAAACGGGUGCGUAACACGUACGCAACUUUCCUUUAAGCGGGGAAUAGCCCAGGGAAACUUGGAUUAAUACCCCAUAAAAUUUUAGAGAUGGCAUCAUCUUAUUAUUAAAGCUUCGGCACUUAAAGAUGGGCGUGCGGCUGAUUAGGUAGUUGGCGGGGUAACGGCCCACCAAGCCUUCGAUCAGUAGCUGAUGUGAGAGCAUGAUCAGCCACACGGGCACUGAGACACGGGCCCGACUCCUACGGGAGGCAGCAGUAAGGAAUAUUGGUCAAUGGACGAAAGUCUGAACCAGCCAUGCCGCGUGAAGGAUGAAGGUCCUCUGGAUUGUAAACUUCUUUUAUUUGGGACGAAAAAAGGUUUUCUAACUCACUUGACGGUACCAGAUGAAUAAGCACCGGCUAACUCCGUGCCAGCAGCC